AUGUCUAGAGCAGCAACUAAAACUUUGCUAAAGUCAAAAACACAAGCUAUUCCGACCUUUAUCGCCAGUUGUUUUCGGCUUCCAGUAGCUACGUGUGAAAAGUUCCGCCAGAUUGUGGCCGAUCAAUGGUGGGGACGAGAAGAUGGGAAAAAGAAAAUUCACUGGCGAUCAUGGGACUGGCUCUCGACUCCUAAGUCCCUUGGGGGCAUGGGCUUCCGUGACAUGGGGUUGUUCAAUCAGGCGAUGCUUGGGAAGCAAGGGUGGAGACUUCUUAUUGCGCCUCUUUCGCUUUGUGCGCGGGUUUUGAAGGGGAGGUAUUUUCCAAAUGGUGAUUUCUGGAACGCUUCGGCUCCUCGUACAGCCUCAGCGACAUGGCGUGCGAUUCUGCAUGGUCGUGAUCUUCUGAAGAUGGGGAUUCAGUGGGGUAUUGGGGAUGGAAGGAGUACUCACAUUUUGAUUGACCAUUGGAUCCCC
rnacentral:rRNA from 1 species